UACAGAGGUCUCAAGCGUUGUUCGGAUUCAUUGGGCGUAAAGGGUGCGUAGGUGGCGCCGUAAGUCAGGUGUGAAAUUUCGGAGCUUAACUCCGAAACUGCAUUUGAUACUGCGGUGCUUGAGGACUGGAGAGGAGACUGGAAUUCCCAGUGUAGAGGUGAAAUUCGUAGAUAUCAGGAAGAACACCCGUGGCGAAAGCGGCUCUCUGGGCCGAUACUGACGCUGAGGAGCGAAAGCGUGGGGAGCAAACAGG
rnacentral:rRNA from 1 species